rnacentral:SRP_RNA from 1 species
GGUAGCUCCAUGCGUGGCGUUAUCUUAUGAACCUCCCCAGGGUAGGAAUACAGCAAGGAUAAAUAGGCUCUGACGGGUACGUGUGGAGUCUUUUAU